AUUGAACGCUGGCGGCAGGCCUAACACAUGCAAGUCGAACGAGUGGCGGACGGGUGAGUAAUGUCUGGGAAACUGCCUGAUGGAGAGGGAUAACUAAUGGUAACUGUAGCUAAUACCGCAUACCAUCAGAUGUUCCCCGAUGGGAUUAGCUAGUUGGUGGGGUACCGGCUCACCAAGGCGCAGAUCCCUAGCUGGUCUGAGAGGAUGAACAGCCACACUGGAACUGAUACACGGUCCAGACUCCUACGGGAGGUAGCAGUGGGGAAUAUUGCACAAUGGUCGAAAGCCUGAUGCAGCCAUGCAGCGUGUAUGAAGAAGGCCUUCGGGUUGUAAAGUACUUUCAGCGGGGAGGCGUUACCCGCAGAAGAAGCAGCGGCUAACGGCGUGACAGCAGCCGCGGUAAUAC
rnacentral:rRNA from 1 species